CUCUCCUGUCCUCCAGUGCCACCGCAUCCACCGGUCACUCGCCAGCCAGUUCAAGGCACCAGCACCAAGUACAGUCCGCAGCGGGUGGGCCUGACCCACACCAUGGAGCAUGAGGACGUCAUCCAGAUCGUGAAGAAGUAACGGCGCCUGCCGGGCCUCCCGCCCACCUGCCUCGUCUCCCUGGGGAGGUGGUCCCACUGGGACACACAAACACCCAAACAGAAAAAUACAAAUACACGUACCCCAGGAAGGGGUCCCUCAAGUCUCUGCUAUUUACAGAAGUUUCUUCAGUAGGCAGACGAAGAGUGUGUUGGGGCAAAGGGGCUCGGUUGGAGGCAUUUCCCAUAAGACUGAGCCCUCUCAUGGGGGUUUUGAGUUUGUAGUGCUGAGCCUGCAUCUGUGCCUCCCAGCCCCCUGCACUGAGGGAGCAAGUUGCCCACAUGCCCGCCAGCCAGGGCCUAAAGCAGAUGGCAUGCUCAGUGCCAGGCUGGUAGCUGGGCCUGUUUGGGUCCCUGGAGGCUGUGGCUGCUGUCAUGGCACCUCACUCCCUCAGCUCUUGCCAGCUUCUCUGACACUUGGGUUGGGGGCCCUUCCAGGAGGAAACCCCCUUGGGUGCCCCACACAGGGCUCUCCAUGAUGGGAACCAGUGGUUAGUGGCUUCAAAGGCCCAGCUGACACCCUCCACAGCCUAAGGGGUGUCCUAAAGUGCCUCCCCCUGUAUUCCCCCUCCCAGGGCAGCCCCUGCCCAGCACAAAACCCCAGGACCCUGGCUCUGCACGCCUGGGGCAGGGACUUUUGAGUUUAGGAUCUGUAUUUUCUAAGUCCCCAGUUCUCCUGGCUCUCCUUUCUGAAAUAAAGGAUUGAAAACGGU
rnacentral:lncRNA from 1 species